GCUUUAGUGGUGUAAAGCUAACACACUCAGCUUGCAUUCGAGUGGUCCAGGUUCGAGUCCUGGAGAGAGUA
rnacentral:tRNA from 1 species